GAUGAACGCUGGCGGCGUGCCUAAUACAUGCAAGUCGAGCGAACAGACGAGGAGCUUGCUCCUCUGACGUUAGCGGCGGACGGGUGAGUAACACGUGGAUAACCUACCUAUAAGACUGGGAUAACUUCGGGAAACCGGAGCUAAUACCGGAUAAUAUAUUGAACCGCAUGGUUCAAUAGUGAAAGACGGUUUUGCUGUCACUUAUAGAUGGAUCCGCGCCGCAUUAGCUAGUUGGUAAGGUAACGGCUUACCAAGGCAACGAUGCGUAGCCGACCUGAGAGGGUGAUCGGCCACACUGGAACUGAGACACGGUCCAGACUCCUACGGGAGGCAGCAGUAGGGAAUCUUCCGCAAUGGGCGAAAGCCUGACGGAGCAACGCCGCGUGAGUGAUGAAGGUCUGCGGAUCGUAAAACUCUGUUAUUAGGGAAGAACAAAUGUGUAAGUAACUAUGCACGUCUUGACGGUACCUAAACAGAAAGCCACGGCUAACUACGU
rnacentral:rRNA from 1 species